ensembl:lncRNA
AAAAUAGGGCUUUUUUCUUUUUUCGUCAGCAAGCUUAUUUUUUUCCGAUAAAAAGCCUAAACCACCGGGAUAACGUGGGGUUAUCCAUGUUAUGUGAAGGGACCUGAUAUAUUUCUUAUGUAUAGGCCUAUUUUCUGAAUUGCAAAUCAACCAACUGCUGUGUAGUGAAUUCUUCAGCGAAAGUUGCAUGGAGACAGGCGCGAGAAGGCGCCAGAAGAGCUGAGCGAGAGCACGCGAAAUCAAAUAUACAUAAUAACAAUAAUAUACGACAAGUACGAAUGAGAGCGAUACGGAGAGGCAGCUCUUGUGCAGAGUUGGUAGAUGAAAAUGUAUGUAGCCUUCAUUACAUGCGCUCCACGUAACGUUCCUGAGCGAUGCCUUUUGGCCCCUGGCCCCUGCUAUAUGAGGAUGCAUAAAGACAGGAAUGGAGGAGGAGGAGAAGGCGGAGGAGAGGAAGAAAGGAGACGAGCAACGAUGAAAAGUGGGAGCUGCAGCCUGAAACGUUGUACCGACUUGGGGAAACCCAGAGCUGUCCAACAGUAAUGGUGAGAGGCUAACUUGACGAAGAAGGGCUACGCCAUGUUACAUCCUGGCCAGAAACGUCGACUCUCUUGGGAUUUCAUCGUCUCCAUUGAGAAAGAUGUUCGUGGUGGGGGCUCAGAGCAGUGUGAAUAACUACUACUGACGUAACUCACAAAACAGAUGGACGUGACAUAUGAAGAGUGCUGAAUGUAUUUCUAUCCUAAUUUACAAUUACAUGUGGAAUUGUUGUAUUCAUUUGAUGGGUAUAGACUGUAAGUCAUGUCCCUUUGAUGCACGCUCAUAAGAUCUCAAAUGCUGAAAUAUCUUUUCAUUGGUUGUAAACGUUUUUGCCACAUUUUUGUUGUUGUUGCUGUCUUUAAUUUAGAGAUGAAUUCUGAUGGACCUUUAUAAAAUGGCACUAUAGUUGGUAAAGUUAAGUCAUAAGCUAUCUAAGCAGGAUGAUACAUAAAAUAGGCUACCUCUUAAUGAAUAACCCCUGUUUGAGUAAUAUCCUAUCACCUGAAGAGAUAUAUUAAUAAUGUAAGAAUAUUCUGUCAAUUUGCUACUAUGCCAAAUAGGCUACGUUACAAAAGUGAGAUAAACGUCUGAAACGCCAGUUCAUCCAAGCCAUUACGUAGGCGCUACCUAUCACGUAUAUAUCGAAUGAUCUUCACUUCUGUCAAAGAAUGCAAAUGGUUGAAUGAUGACUUGUCAAAAGUCAAUCGUUUUUUCCUACUGUGCACAUUUUGCUGAGCACAUUGCAUUGGUAAAAUGUUCUAAGGCAUUUGUGGUUUGUUCAUAUUUCAUGUUUAGUUUACAUGUCGGUGCAGGCAUACAGCUAAUAGACUAUGGCGACAGCGGGGUGUCUUCCAGGCAAGAAUAUCCCAGGAUACACUGUUGUGAGACGCUCUGUCUGGAUUGCAGGCUGACGCACUGUACAUCAAAAUGCCCAACAACAAGUCUACAUUUUUCCACAGUCGUGACAUCGCGCAAAGGAGACGCAUAUUCUCUCAAUAAUCAUGUUCGAGAUGUCAUUGUGGCUCACAAAUGUACAGUGCAACGGAAUAAAAUGUUAGAAAUUCAC